GAUGAACGCUGGCGGCGUGCCUAAUACAUGCAAGUCGAGCGAAUGGAUUAAGAGCUUGCUCUUAUGAAGUUAGCGGCGGACGGGUGAGUAACACGUGGGUAACCUGCCCAUAAGACUGGGAUAACUCCGGGAAACCGGGGCUAAUACCGGAUAACAUUUUGAACCGCAUGGUUCGAAAUUGAAAGGCGGCUUCGGCUGUCACUUAUGGAUGGACCCGCGUCGCAUUAGCUAGUUGGUGAGGUAACGGCUCACCAAGGCAACGAUGCGUAGCCGACCUGGGAGGUUGAUCGGCCACACGGGGACUGAGCCACGGCCCAGACUCCUACGGGAGGCAGCAGUAGGGAAUCUUCCGCAAUGGACGAAAGUCGGACGGAGCAACGCCGCGUGGGGGAUGAAGGCUUUCGGGUCGUAAAACUCUGUUGUUAGGGAAGAACAAGUGCUAGUUGAAUAAUCUGGCACCUUGACGGUACCUAACCAGAAAGCCACGGCUAACUACGUGCCAGCCGCCGCCGUAA
rnacentral:rRNA from 1 species